AACUCUAAGCUGUAGUCACUCACUUGCAACAGUCUGGGUCAAAAUGUAACAGGAAAAAACCACCCAUGAACAAAACAAAGAAGCUCUGAAGUUAUAGGUUAUAUGAUCAGAUUAUUAAAAAAACUCUGUAGUUUAUUUUGGUGAGGUUUUAUUCUUUGUCUUCUAGACCAACCCUGUUAACGUUUCUGUUACAAUCAUCAAUAUUUAUGGACUGGCUACAGGCUUUGUCUUUGGUGUGAGAUCUAAGAUACAAAUUGAUCUGGGGAGUGAGGUCCAGACAAGGAGCUAACAGUGAGGUGCACCAGAGACAGAAGACAGAUAAAGAAGGAGAUGAUGAAGAUGUAAAGAUCACCGGGAGAAGACAGACUAAAGGCCUCUAUUGAAAUGAGAGUGAAAUAGUCUAUAACAGAAAUGCAAUAGAAUACACAGGAGGU